GAAAUUCGUGUUUUGGAUAUGUCUUCACUAAAACGGUAACUGCUCCUUCUCUUUAAUUCUGAUUAAAAUUCCUCUUGCUGCUAUGGAAAGCUAACGCAAUUCCCUUCGAUUUGAGUACCAACUUCGUAGGUUUUAGCUUAAUAUUGAAGUCUGUAGACGAGAUGGAAGUUAGGGUACUGUGCUGCAAAUUCUGCAGAAAACUGGAUGCGGGUUUAGUAUGUUGCAGCUGUAAAUUUCGUCUUUUGACGAGUCCGGGAGUUGUCGAUGACAUUUUACGGUAAAGGGAUUUCAAUGACAAAGUUCAAGGUUGGAAAUAAAACUACAGAAUAGGAUCAAAUCAAAGAAUGAGCUUGUUGGAAGGAGCUAAAAGUGGGAGCUUGGUACUAUGGUUGUGAUGCUCAAUUGUUGAGAAAGCUUUUAAUUUUAAAGGUGGGUUCCCUUAGAGCCUUAAACUCUAGUUAGUUUUAGCUCCAUUAGUUUCCCUAAAAUUUAUGCAUGACAACAUUAGUUUAGAUAUGAUAAUAGUAUCCCCAAAUUAUGAAUUGUGCAUGAUCACAUAAGUUUAGGAUCAAUUAGUGUAUGAGAGGAGCUUAAUCCCAAAGCUUCUCUCCAUUUUAAUCAUGUAAUAUAUGUUGCAUUAUUCAUGGCUAGCGAGAAAAGGGAUUUGUGGUGAGAAGUUUUGUAAAAAUGGUGAAAAACAUGAAAACAGAGUACUGAACUGAUAAUCUCGCUAAGCGACGUACUUCUCGCUAAGCAAGGAUAUCAACUCAGAAUUCUGCAAAAUUUGAAAACAAGAACUGUAUUACUCUUUUGAUUCCCCAAUCUUUCUAGAUGAUUUUCUGUGAAUAAUGCAGGUAUAAUCCUUAAUUAAAAUGUUAAUUACACAUUAAGUUAUGAUAAUCAGGAAAUCAGGACAAGUUAGUUACCCAGGGAGGGAAUUCAUGGGCAUGAUAACAAUCAGGAUAGUUAAGUUAUGUUAAGGAAGUCAGUCAAUCAUGGUGGUUACUUAUGUACCACGUUAUGGGAUUCGAGGAAUCCAAUCAUGUUACGAUUGUGAGCUUCAUGCCGUGUCGAUGCAUAUAAUCAUCAACGACAGAUAUGUCAGACCUCUGAGAUCGGCUCACCUCAGAGUGUCUUAGUUAUGUUAAAAUGAACAAGAUAAUUAAUAUGUGUUACACCUUUAUAUUAUUACGUUUAUGAAAUCAUGUUAUGAAAUUAUGUUAGAGACUGACAAUCAGGAUCAAGGAACUUUAGUUCAUCAGUUGCCCCCGGUGUAAACACCAAUAGUAACUGGGUAGUAGGAAUCCACUGAGACGAAGUGACUGUUCUCAUCCCCCACUUAUUUGAUUUCAGAUAAGCAGGUUAAUCGAGAUAUCUUGGUUUGCUAGCAUGAAGAUUCAGAUACGCGAAUUACGUUAUGGAGCUGACAUCAUGUUAAUCUUAUUAUUAUAUAAGAUUCAGUUUAUUUGAGUUCAGUAGUUAGCUCAAUCAUGUAUUCAUUUAGUGGAUUAUUGUAAUCCUAUUCAUGUAUUUGAUCUUUAUGUAAUGAAAAUUUAAUGUUUCCCGAUUCAGUUAUGUACACUCUUGUCGAUAUUCUAGAUAAAUCGAUAUGGGAUGUUAUAAUUGGUAUCA
rnacentral:lncRNA from 1 species